rnacentral:rRNA from 1 species
CGACCGGCGCACGGGUGAGUAACGCGUAUGCAACCUGCCCGUUUCAGCGGGAUAACCCGGAGAAAUCCGGCCUAAUACCGCAUGUGGCCGAGGGGAGGCAUCUUCUUUCGGCCAAAGGAGGCGACUCCGGAGACGGAUGGGCAUGCGUGACAUUAGCUAGUUGGCGGGGUAACGGCCCACCAAGGCGACGAUGUCUAGGGGUUCUGAGAGGAAGGUCCCCCACACUGGUACUGAGACACGGACCAGACUCCUACGGGAGGCAGCAG